AAUGCAACUAGUUCCCAAGAUAAGGGCAAAGGGAAGCUGUACAUGAUGACGGCUAGUGAAGAAGAGGCUCGUAGAGACGUUGUCACGGGUCCCAAUUUCAUAAGCGGCUCGUUCUAUUAAGUCAGCGAAAAUUCUCCGUUACAAGGUACGUACGCGUACCAGUUUACUUUCAAAGCUUAGUAUCAUGUUUAGGUUGCAGUUCAUGUUAUUGGAACCUAGUACCAUGAUAGGGAACAUUUGAUUGUGAUUGUUUGGUUAGACGUUUAUAACGUGAAAUCAAUAUGAUGCAUUGAAAUAUGUUGCAUUGAAAUGCGAAGUUCUAUCGUAGUGUAACAUCAGCAUUAUUAAUCUGAUCUAUAGAGUAACAAGAGUGUUACUAGGGAUAAGAUUGAGUUUGGUAAUUAAGAGAGUAUGUAAAUGACUCCUUAAAGUUAUAAAAGAAUGAUUGGUAAUAAAAGAAGAUUAUGGCGAUACUUGUAGUUGGACUCCCUACAAGUAUAGAACAAUGGGGGAGUGUAGGACUUGUCCUACACUCCUACGCAGGCCUACUGUGACGACAGUAGUGUCCUUAUAUUUUGAUAACUCAAGUAGGCGGAAGGUUCCGUUCGAUCUUGGGGGUAUGCAUACUAAGGUGAUGGGUGUGAGACGGAACAAAACCGUAUUUGCAUUUCAUCUAAUAGACCAAGUGUCUAUUAAGGAUUCAGUAGCCCGUAUGAUUCUAGUAAGAUGACGGUGCCCGUUCGAUGCCAAAUAAUGAAAGAUUAAAGGAUGUGAGAUAACGUAGGUUCAUAUAACAGUUGUAAUGUAUGCAUCAUUUAUGUUCAUAUAGUUUCAAUGGUUCAUUACGUACUCAGCAUAGCUGACCCUGUGUGUUAUUAUGUGUUUGUUGUCCUGUGAUGAACUAUUGAUACUUCAAUGGGGAGCAGACUAGGUGAGCUGGUGCUGCUGCAUGACAUCAAGCAUAUGGGGGCUAGACUGUAGUUUGAAGUUAACUUUUGGUUUGAUCAUUAGAAUUUUAUAGAACAUUGUUACAUGGUUUGAGUUUGAAUAAAGAGGGGUCAUCUAUGAUUCCCGAGUUGUAAUUACAUUUUCUAUUCCGCUGCAAUUUGGUUUUGAGACAAUGAAUUUGAGUUACCGUAUUUCUAA